GAUGAACGCUGGCGGCGUGCCUAAUACAUGCAAGUCGAGCGAACAGACGAGGAGCUUGCUCCUCUGACGUUAGCGGCGGACGGGUGAGUAACACGUGGAUAACCUACCUAUAAGACUGGGAUAAACUCGGGAAACCGGAGCUAAUACCGGAUAAUAUAUUGAACCGCAUGGUUCAAUAGUGAAAGACGGUUUUGCUGUCACUUAUAGAUGGAUCCGCGCCGCAUUAGCUAGUUGGUAAGGUAACGGCUUACCAAGGCAACAAUGCGUAGCCCACCUGAGAGAGUGAACGGCCAAACCAGAACUGAGACUACGUCCAGAAUCCUACCAGAGUCACCAGUACGGACUCGUCCGCUAUACGCGAAAACCUGACCGGGCAAAACCGCGUGAGUGAUGACAGUCUUCGUGUCGUCAAAAUCUUUUAUUAGGGAAAAACAAAUAUAUAAGUAACUAUGCACGUCUUGACGGUACCUAAUCAGAAAGCCACGGCUAACUACGUG
rnacentral:rRNA from 1 species